GUCUGGAUAGCUCAGUUAGUUAGAGCCUGGUGCUGAUAAUGCCAAGGUUGCAGGUUUGAUCCCCACAUGGGGCA
rnacentral:tRNA from 1 species